AACCCAGACUCCUACGGAGGCAGCAGUGGGGAAUAUUGCACAAUGGGGGAAACCCUGAUGCAGCAACGCCGCGUGAGUGAAGAAGUCAUUCGUGAUGUAAAGCUCUAUCAGCAGGGAAGAAAAUGACGGUACCUGAGUAAGAAGCCCCGGCUAACUACGUGCCAGCAGCCGCGGUAAUACGUAGGGGGCAAGCGUUAUCCGGAUUUACUGGGUGUAAAGGGAGCGUAGACGGCCAGACAAGUCUGAAGUGAAAGCCCGGGGCUCAACCCUGGGACUGCUCUGGAAACUGUAAAGCUGGAGUGCGGGAGGGGCAGGCGGAAUUCCUGGUGUAGCGGUGAAAUGCGUAGAUAUCAGGAGGAACACCGGCGGCGAAGGCGGCCUGCUGGACCGUAACUGACGUUGAGGCUCGAAAGCGUGGGGAGCAAACAGGAUUAGAUACCCUGGUAU
rnacentral:rRNA from 1 species